CUGAAGAAGUCUCAUUCUAGUCCUGGAGUGGGAAAGGCUAGCUGCCUGGGAGCAAGAAUUAUGGGGCCCGAUCCUGUUUCACAACCAAAAGUCCCUCUGAAGUCCGGGGAGUGACACAGAGAAUGCAAGAUCAGGGCAUUUGACAUGGUACCACACAACAUUAGUGGUGAAAUCUGUAGUCGGAGUUAUUUUGGAUCCCAGAGAACUGUAUGAAGUGUUCUUUCAAAAUUGGACACUGUUCUGGAGAAGCAGAGUGGAGAAGGUCUCAGAGAGAAUCCCAUUAGUGGUACUGUGACUCAUAUCUGGAUCCAUUCAUCUGGAGCAGCUGGCUGUGUGCUUUGGAAGCAGAAACCAACCCAGCACCAAGAAAGAUCAGUGAAUAUAAGAAAUGGAGUUUAUCCAUCAACAAAAGUUGGAUUGAAUUGUAAUGCAAAGUAAAUGUUAUUGGGAAGAAAAACUUAUAUGGUAGUGUUUUGUAACUAGACAAAAUAAUUGUAUUAAAACUAAGCAAUUAUAUAAAAGAGAUUGAAAUGCCCUAGAUUAGAAAGAAAUCCAACUAAUGCCUUACGGUUCAUGGUAUGAAAGAAAUAUUGUUUAAUAAGUUAAUUGAAUUUCACUAAUCUGCAGUCACUGGGGUUUGAUCUAAAAUGGUUAAAAACUAUUGAAGGGACUUUAUAUACCAAAAACUAAACUUUUUAAAUGUGUAAACCUGUGAAAGUGGGGCAGCAACAAAACAUGGGAACUGAGCUGUUUGGGAUUGGUAUGUCGCUCUGAAACCACGCUGACAGAGACACUGUGGAAACAUGACCAAGCAUUUCAACAGAAGCUAGCAGCAGAAGUACUGUAUCCAUUACAUGAGCACGUGUUUCAGCCAGAAUUAGCAUCUGAUUUGAAAAUCAACGAAGCAAAGAAUUUAAUGAUAAAGAGUUUUUAACUAUUUUACAGUAUGAUGUUGUACAUUUUUUUAACUUUAUCAUAAAAGGUAAAAGGCAAAAACAAUGAUGUACACAAUAUGGGAAAUAUAUUCUACAUAAAGUAAAAGAGGCAUAGAACAAAGAGGGUUGCCCUCUUUUAUCACCACAGAAAGGUUAAAAAUGUGGUAUAAGGGAGGUAAUAUUAAUUGGUAUAGGGCAAGAAAAUUAACAAGAGUCCAAUACCAUAAGGUUAAACGUGGAAAGCAUUACAAUUCAUAUGAUGUGGAGGAAGGUGUUUUUUUUCCCCCCAUCCUCAAAUACUGUUGCAAAACAAUGCAAAGUCUGGCAAGCCCUGGACUUGUACCACUGUUUGCACCUGAGGGAUACUUACAUGUGCAGGUUCAAUGUCUUACAAACAAAAUUGCUGGCAUGUGGGUUCACUCUGGGGAAACAGUCUCCAAAGUGCAGAGUGUGGUUGAGACCUUGGGAUACUGUUAAAACAAAACAAAACAAAACAAAAACCUGCCUGUGCUGGUGAUGACAAGUAUUGUGUGGUGGCUGAAGAGGACCACUUUUGGUAUGGACCCAGGUUGUGUUAUAUUAAUUGGCCUAUGUUCUGUUUCACACCUUAAUUUCCUGUGGUGAUAAAUGGAAAGAUUUUUCUAUUUUCCACCAGUUUUUCACAAUGUAAUUAAAGUAAAAGCAAAGUUAAAAUUACAGAAGGAUGCUUUAAAGGAAAGCAAGCUUAUAAUGCGGGAUUACACCCUGGUGGGCUGUACCAGGGGAGGUUAGCUUGCACCCAUUUCAUUCUUUAAUCCUAAUAUUGAUGGUGGUUCAAAUAAUUACAACUACAUGUGUUGCUGGGUAAUAAAUUUGAAAAAAGGUAGCACAGAAAGAUAGGAAUAUGAUAUAACUAAUUAACACUUGGAGGGAGGCCUCAUUUCCUGGAGGAUACAAGUACAGAAGUAAACAGAUCAUUAGGCUGAAAACAGAAAGUUUGUUCUAAAUAAGAUAUGUAAAUAGGUCAGUAGGCUAUGAAGACAAAGUCUGACUCAGAUAAGAUAAAAGGGAGAACACCCAGGGGACCUUUUACUAUUAACAAGAUCACAAUGGGCAAGAAUGGAAUGUAGAUAUGAGGAGAAGAGUAGGUUGAGAGUAGAAAAUGUAUGGACAGAACAUGCUGCACAGGGCUUGGUUCCUGUGAAGUAACCAAUCCAAUCCAAAAAUGUGUGAUGUGAUGUAAUGUGUACGUGUAUAUAAAGGAAGAGGUUUUCUGUGUAACUUUGGAUGUGUGGUAUACCCUAUAUCCACCUCCAAUGCCCAAG